CUCGCCCAGAUCCCCUUCUCCCCGAGCAUCAUAGCAACCCCACCGGCCAGCUCGCCGAUGUCCAUCUACAUGACGCUCGGCCUGGUAGCCGCUAGAGCACGUGGUAAAACCCUGGAAGAGCUCAUGGCCCUGCUUGGCGCCUCGUCCCCCGCCAAGGUCGCCCGGUUCCUGAGCAGCCUCGCCCCCGACCCAUCCUGCCUACACGCAUACCGCCGCAGUCGUGCAUGGCGGAGAUACGUACAGUUGACUCGCCGAGCUACAACACACACUUUGCCUCCCUCGUCGCCACCGCUACUGCGUCAUGGCCACUGGAACGAUCCUAUUCGGCGCCAACGACAUGUCCAAGAUCGACCGAGAGCGCGUUUUAGCAUGCCCCGUCGACGAGUAGGAAGCAAAGUUUGUUGCACAAUGCCAUGAGGAAUAGCGGAGUGGUGAUCUUCGCUUUACCAAGGGCUUCUCUGCGGCCAUCGAGGGCCAGUGUAUAGAUGGAGACGACAACAACGAGGUGGCUGCUAGGGGUAGCGGCGGCAAUGGUGAGAACCUCGACCGACAGCAACAACGUCCCUCUCUCCCAUCAGCGGCUAUGCCACAAUUCUACUCAAGAACUAAAACAAUAUUGAUAUAAUCAGGAAGCAACUAACAUGAAUAUGUGCUUAUGUGUCGGUGCUACUACUGAAGCAACAAUGAAA